AUGAACGCUAGCUACAGGCUUAACACAUGCAAGUCGAGGGGCAGCAUGGUCUUAGCUUGCUAAGGCCGAUGGCGACCGGCGCACGGGUGAGUAACGCGUAUCCAACCUGCCUUACACUCUUGGACAGCCUUCUGAAAGGGAGAUUAAUACAAGAUGUUAUCAUGAGUAAGCAUUUUCGCAUGAUUAAAGGUUUACCGGUGUAAGAUGGGGAUGCGUUCCAUUAGAUAGUAGGCGGGGUAACGGCCCACCUAGUCUUCGAUGGAUAGGGGUUCUGAGAGGAAGGUCCCCCACAUUGGAACUGAGACACGGUCCAAACUCCUACGGGAGGCAGCAGUGAGGAAUAUUGGUCAAUGGACGAGAGUCUGAACCAGCCAAGUAGCGUGAAGGAUGAAGGUUCUAUGGAUUGUAAACUUCUUUUAUACGGGAAUAAACGGAUCCACGUGUGGAUUUUUGCAUGUACCGUAUGAAUAAGGAUCGGCUAACUCCGUGCCAGCAGCCGCGGUAAUACGGAGGAUCCGAGCGUUAUCCGGAUUUAUUGGGUUUAAAGGGAGCGUAGAUGGGUUGUUAAGUCAGUUGUGAAAGUUUGCGGCUCAACCGUAAAAUUGCAAUUGAUACUGGCAGUCUUGAGUACAGUUGAGGUAGGCGGAAUUCGUGGUGUAGCGGUGAAAUGCUUAGAUAUCACGAAGAACUCCGAUUGCGAAGGCAGCUUACUAACCUGUAACUGACAUUGAUGCUCGAAAGUGUGGGUAUCAAACAGGAUUAGAUACCCUGGUAGUCCACACGGUAAACGAUGAAUACUCACUGUAGGCGAUAUACAGUCUGCGGCCAAGCGAAAGCAUUAAGUAUUCCACCUGGGGAGUACGCCGGCAACGGUGAAACUCAAAGGAAUUGACGGGGGCCCGCACAAGCGGAGGAACAUGUGGUUUAAUUCGAUGAUACGCGAGGAACCUUACCCGGGCUUAAAUUGCAACCGAAUAUGGCGGAAACGCUAUAGCUAGCAAUAGCGGUUGUGAAGGUGCUGCAUGGUUGUCGUCAGCUCGUGCCGUGAGGUGUCGGCUUAAGUGCCAUAACGAGCGCAACCCUUGCCGAUAGUUACUAACAGGUUAUGCUGAGGACUCUGUCGGGACUGCCAUCGUAAGAUGUGAGGAAGGUGGGGAUGACGUCAAAUCAGCACGGCCCUUACGUCCGGGGCUACACACGUGUUACAAUGGGGGGUACAGAGGGCUGCUACCACGCAAGUGGAUGCCAAUCCCAAAAACCUCUCUCAGUUCGGAUUGAAGUCUGCAACCCGACUUCAUGAAGCUGGAUUCGCUAGUAAUCGCGCAUCAGCCACGGCGCGGUGAAUACGUUCCCGGGCCUUGUACACACCGCCCGUCAAGCCAUGGGAGCCGGGGGUACCUGAAGUGCGUAACCGCAAGGAGCGCCCUAGGGUAAAACUGGUGACUGGGGCU
rnacentral:rRNA from 1 species